rnacentral:ncRNA from 1 species
AAGGGAACGCGGUCAGACACCGCGGCUGUGCCCGCAACUGUAGGCGGUUAGGCCGUCGUCCGCUCCCUGUCUUCGGGCAGGGCGCCACUGGAGCGAUCCGGGAAGGCGAGGACGACGGGUCGACUUUUCAGGUCGGCCUUUGCCUGUGACCCGCAAGCCAGGAGACCU